ensembl:lncRNA
UCUUCUCAUCUCUCUCUCUCUCUGUCUCUCUCUCUGUCUUCUCGCUCUCCUUCCCCCUCGCCUCCCUCCUCUCUUCUCUCGCCCUCCAUCUCUCUCCCUCCCUCCUCUCUCUCUCUCUCUUCUUCUCCCUCCUCCCUCCUCCCUUCUCUCUCUCCCUCCUCCUCUGUCUCUCUCUGUCUCUCUCUGUCUCUCUCUCUGUUCUCUCUCUGCUCUGUCUCUCUCUCUUCUCUGUCUCUCUCUCUCCCUCCCCUCCUUCUCUUCCCUCGUCCCUCCCCCUCUUCCUUCCCCAGGCCAAACAGGUAGAACUAACAGUUUACAGUAGGGAGGCCAUCACCAGUGCUGCUAUAGGGACCAGUUCUGGAGCUGCCAGGGACCCCUGGACUGUACUGAGGAGCAAUACGUCCCCCAGACAGUACGACUACACACAGUGGUUCAACCUUCCAUCCACGUGGUUCAAUCCUUCAUUCCACAGUGGUUCAAUCCACAGUGGUUCAACCUUCAAUCCACAGUGGUUCAAUCCACAGUGGUUCAAUCCACAGUGGUUCAAUCCCAGUGGUUCAAUCCUUCAAAGCCCAGUGGUUCAAACCACAGUGGUUCAACCCACAGUGGUUCAAUCCUUCAUUCCACAGUGGUUCAAUCCACAUGGUUCAAUCCACAGUGGUUCAACCCACAGUGGUCAACCUUACAAUCCACAGUGGUUCAACCCCUCAAUCCACAGUGGUUCAACCCCUCAAUCCACUGUGGGUCCAAUCCCUCAACCCAUGGGGUCAAUCCCUCAAGCCACUGUGGUCAACUCCUCAAUCACUGUGGGUCAAUCCCUCAAUCCACUGUGGUCAAAUCCCUCAAUCCCUGGAGGUCUCCCUCAAUCCACUGUGGGUCAAUCCCUCAAUCCACUGUGGGUCAAUCCCUCAAUCCUCGGUGGUCCAAUCCACUCAAUCCACCUGUGGGUCAACUCCCUCAAUCCAAGUGGGUCAAUCCACAGGUUCAAUCCUUCAAUCCACAGGGUUACAUCCCUUCAAUCCACAGGGGUUCAAUCCCUCAAUCCCACAGGGGUUCAAUCCCUCAAUCCACAGGGGUUCAAUCCCUCAAUCCACAGGGGUUCAAUGCCCUCAAUCCACUGUGGGUCAACUCCCUCAAUCCACUGUGGGUCAAUCCUCCAUCCACAGUGGGUCAAUCCCCAAUCACAGUGGGUCAAUCCCAUUCCACUGUGGGUCAAUCCCUCAAUCCACUGUGGGGUCAAUCCCUCAAUCCACUGUGGGUCAAUCCUCAAACCACAGGGGUUCAACCCUCAACCCACAGGGGGUCAAUCCCUCAAUCCACGGGGGUCAAUCCCUCAAUCACUGUGGGGUCAAUCCCUCAAUCCACUGUGGUCAAUCCCUCAACCCUGUGGUCAAUCCCUCAACCCACUGUGGUCACAUCCCUCAUCCACUGUGGGUCAAUCCCUCAAUCCUCUGUGGGUCAAUCCCUUCACGCCACAGUGGUUCAACCCUCAAUCCACUGUGGGUCAAUCCCUCAUCACAGGGGUUCAAUCUCCUCAAUCCACAGGGGUUCAAUCCCUCAAUCCACGGGGUUCAAUCCUCAAUCACCUACCCGUGGGUCAAUCCCUCAAUCCACAGGGGGUUCAAUCCCUCAA